UCGUAGGGCUUCUGCCCUGUCGAGAUAGCGUCCUUGCCUAUUUUUUGGAGUACCUUUUCGUUUCCUCAGCAGGCUUGCCUGCUACUGGGGACCCUUUAAACUCUUUGUAAAUACAGCAUCUGUCUGAAUAAACAAACAAAAAUCA
rnacentral:misc_RNA from 1 species